GUGGCAGUUCAAUUUGCAUUACUGAAAUACAUUUUGGGACUGUUUGCUCGGGAUCACAACCUCCUAUAUAUAUACAUAUAUAUAUKUAUAUAUAUGAAUAU